rnacentral:rRNA from 1 species
GAUGAACGCUAGCUACAGGCUUAACACAUGCAAGUCGAGGGGUAACAAGAGAAAAGCUUGCUUUUCUUGUUGACGACCGGCGCACGGGUGAGUAACGCGUAUCCAACCUGCCUAUAACCAGGGAAUAACCUUGCGAAAGUAAGACUAAUACCCUAUGAUUUCCUUUGAUGACAUCAGAUUAGGAAUAAAGAUUUAUCGGUUAUAGAUGGGGAUGCGUCUGAUUAGCUUGUUGGCGGGGUAACGGCCCACCAAGGCAACGGUCAGCAGGGGUUCUGAGAGGGAGGUCCCCCCCAUUGGAACUGAGACACGGUCCAAACUCCUACGGGAGGCGGCAGUGAGGAAUAUUGGUCAAUGGGCGGAAGCCUGAACCAGCCAAGUAGCGUGCAGGAUGACGGCCCUAUGGGUUGUAAACUGCUUUUAUACAGGAAUAAAGUUAGCCACGUGUGGUUAUUUGUAGGUACUGUAUGAAUAAGGACCGGCUAAUUCCGUGCCAGCAGCCGCGGUAA